GCCAGACUCCUACGGGAGGCAGCAGUGAGGAAUAUUGGUCAAUGGGCUUACGCCUGAACCAGCCAAGUCGCGUGAGGGAGUACUGCCCUAUGGGUUGUAAACCUCUUUUGUCGGGGAGCAAAAGCCGGACGUGUCCGGCUGUGAGAGUACCCGAAGAAAAAGCAUCGGCUAACUCCGUGCCAGCAGCCGCGGUAAUACGGAGGAUGCGAGCGUUAUCCGGAUUUAUUGGGUUUAAAGGGUGCGUAGGCGGAGUGUCAAGUCAGCGGUAAAAUUUCGGGGCUCAACCCCGUCGUGCCGUUGAAACUGACACCCUUGAGUGAGUGAGAAGUAAGCGGAAUGCGUGGUGUAGCGGUGAAAUGCAUAGAUAUCACGCAGAACGCCGAUUGCGAAGGCAGCUUACCGGCGCUCAACUGACGCUGAGGCACGAAAGUGCGGGUAUCGAACAGGAUUAGAUACCCCGGUACG
rnacentral:rRNA from 1 species